AGUGAACGCUGGCGGUAGGCCUAACACAUGCGAGUCGAACGGCAGCACAGUAAGAGCUUGCUCUUACGGGUGGCGAGUGGCGGACGGGUGAGGAAUACAUCGGAAUCUACUUUUUCGUGGGGGAUAACGUAGGGAAACUUACGCUAAUACCGCAUACGACCUACGGGUGAAAGCAGGGGAUCUUCGGACCUUGCGCGAUUGAAUGAGCCGAUGUCGGAUUAGCUAGUUGGCGGGGUAAAGGCCCACCAAGGCGACGUUCCGUAGCUGGUCUGAGAGGAUGAUCAGCCACACUGGAACUGAGACACGGUCCAGACUCCUACGGGAGGCAGCAGUGGGGAAUAUUGGACAAUGGGCGCAAGCCUGAUCCAGCCAUACCGCGUGGGUGAAGAAGGCCUUCGGGUUGUAAAGCCCUUUUGUUGGGAAAGAAAAGCAGCAGGUUAAUACCCCGCUGUUCUGACGGUACCCAAAGAAUAAGCACCGGCUAACUUCGUG
rnacentral:rRNA from 1 species